rnacentral:lncRNA from 1 species
GGAUGAGACACUUUGGACAUGAGAAGAUGAGGGAAGGAGGCUCUGGGCAAAGGGAAGAGAGUGGCAAAGAAAGAGGUCUUUGUGCCAUCCCCUUGAAUCCAGGCUGGCUUAUGACUUCGGUGGCAGGACACUUUGUGACUUCUGAGGCUGGGUCAUAGAAGGCAAUACAGCCUCCAUCUCUGAUGACAUUGGAACCCAGCCACCAUGCUGUGAGGAAGCCCAAGCGUCCUGUGGAGAGAUUAUGUGGGAGAGAACCAAGGCCCCCAGGCCACAGCAUUGGCUGAGCUCCCAGCCAACAGCCAGCAUCAAUUUGUGGAUAUUCUUGGAAGCAGAUAUUCCAGUCUCAAGAUGAGUUGUCCCAGCUGAUACCACAUUGAGCAGAGAUGAGCUGUUCCUGAUUGUCU